ACAUUGGUACUUCAGUUGGAGAAUUCUCACCUUCCGUGUGAGAGGUCCAGAUUCAAUUCUCAGCUAAUGUA
rnacentral:tRNA from 1 species